GUACAAGUGCUCCUAUCACGUCUAUUCUAAACUCAGAUGACAUUAACCGUUAUUUUCAAUUAAUAAACACUGAUCCUAAUUAUUCUGCUCCUUGUCAAGUUUCAAUCCCAGAAGGAACUCCUAUUCCUGUCAUACCUGAAUAUACAGUGCAGAAAUUCGUAUUAAAUCUGAAACGAACAAGCUCAGGCCCGGAUGAAUUGCUUUUCUGGUUAUGGAGAGACUUUGUAUAUGAUUUAGCACAAGUUAUAACCUCCGUCUUCAAUUCCUCCUUGAAAUAUCAGACAGUGCCUUUAUUGUGGAAAAUGGCAAACAUAUCACCCAUACCGAAGGAAGUACCCCUAAAUCAAUCAAAUCAACUUCGUCCUAUAUCAGUAAGCAAUGUUAU